rnacentral:rRNA from 1 species
GACGAACCGUGCGAACGUUAUUCGGAAUCACUGGGCUUAAAGCGCGUGUAGGCGGGCCGCCGCGUCGGCUGCUGAAAUCCCCCGGCUCAACCGGGGAACGGGCACCGAUACGGGCGGCCUCGAGGGGAGUAGGGGGGCCUGGAACUUCCGGUGGAGCGGUGAAAUGCGUUGAGAUCGGAAGGAACGCCCGUGGCGAAAGCGAGGCCCUGGACCCUUACUGACGCUGAGACGCGAAAGCCAGGGGAGCGAACGGG